rnacentral:rRNA from 1 species
UACGUAGGGGGCAAGCGUUGUCCGGAUUUAUUGGGCGUAAAGAGCGUGUAGGCGGCCAUUCAGGUCAGCUGUGAAAACUCGAGGCUCAACCUCGAGACGUCGGUUGAAACCGUUUGGCUAGAGUCCGGAAGAGGAGAGUGGAAUUCCCGGUGUAGCGGUGAAAUGCGCAGAUAUCGGGAAGAACACCCGUGGCGAAGGCGGCUCUCUGGGACGGUACUGACGCUGAGACGCGAAAAGCGUGGGGGAGCGAACAGGG